rnacentral:piRNA from 1 species
UAUCCAAACUAAAGCGGCCCCUGCCAUC